rnacentral:rRNA from 1 species
GACGGAGGAGGCAAGCGUUAUCCGGACUUAUUGGGCGUAAAGCGUCCGCAGGCGGCGAUUCAAGUCUGCUGUCAAAGGUCGGGGCUUAACCCCGGGAAGGCAGUGGAAACUGAAUAGCUAGAGUGCGGUAGGGGCAGAGGGAAUUCCCGGUGUAGCGGUGAAAUGCGUAGAGAUCGGGAAGAACACCAGUGGCGAAAGCGAUCUGCUGGGCCUGCACUGACACUGAGGGACGAAAUCUAGGGGAGCGAAAGGG